GGAAGUAAAAGUUGUAACAAGGUUUCCGUAGGUGAACCUGCGGAAGGAUCAUUAUUGUAUAACCGAGGUGCGAGGGCUGUCGCUGACCCGAAAGGUCGUGCACGCCCGAGUGCCCUCACACACAUCCAUCUCACCCCUAUGUGCACCACCGCGUGGGUCCCCCUUUGGCUUGUUCGGAGGGGGGCUUACGUUUUCACACAAACUUUGUAUGCAGUGUAGAAUGUAUUUUUUGUUUUUGUGAUCACGCAAUCAAUACAACUUUCAACAACGGAUCUCUUGGCUCUC
rnacentral:misc_RNA from 1 species